GGCUGCUCCUUCGUUUCCAGGCUAGGGAUAGAAUCGGAGCUCCUGGGAACCUCCAUAUGCGUGAGAGCGGCCCAAGAAAUGGCAAAAAAAACAAAAACAGAAAACACAGGGGGAAGGGGGGCAGCGCAGAGGAAGGGAAGAAUAUGUCAAAUAAUGCACAGAACAGACAUGAUCAUUCUGAAAUGCACGGAUGGAAAUAUCAAAGCCCCACACAAUGCACCAGGAACGACCACAGGGCUGCCGGUCAAUUACACCUCAAAACAAACUCAUACAGGAGUUCCCCGGUGGUGCGGCAGGUUACAGAGCAGGUGUCGGCAGGUGCGAACUGCUGCCUGCCGCAGGCAUGGCCAAGACAAAAACAAACUCACAGAAAGAGAGACCAGAUCUGCGGGUACCCGAGGCAGGGGUGAGGGGAGGGGGAACUGGAGGAAGGUGGUCAAAAGCUCAAACUUCCAGUUACAAGAUAAAUUAGUACUAAGGGUGAGAAAUACAAUUAACACAGCUCUGUGUCCAUAGGACGGGUAGAGAGCGACUCCUAAGAGCCCUCGUCACAAGGAGGAAAACACCCAGGAGAUUACGGAUGCUCACAGAGUUACACCCCAUGAUGCACUUAGGUCACACCCCACACCUCAAACACACACCGCGCUGUGCGCCAGUUACAGCGCAAUAACGGGGGGGGGGCCAGCGGCACAUUUUCAAAAUCAUCUUUCUAUGUGAAUAGUUUAAAAAAACUACUUAAUUGUUUUGCUACAGAACCAUCACAGAGAAAUUCUGAACGGGGUGUUAAUAUAUGCCUACACUGUUUAAGUAUAAAUGUGUGUGUGUGUGUGUACACAGAAUGGAAGGCAGAGAAUACAUCUGGUCCUAGGCAUGGUCUCCGGGGAGUGGAAAAGGUAGGACGGAAACAAACACUUCAUCACACAUUCUUUUAAGACUUUUGAACGUUCCAUCUCCAAAAGUGAUCUCUUUAAACACACAAGGAGGAAGAUUUCAAUUUAAAGUCUGUCUUACAGGACAGACAAGCUAAUGAGCACUACUGCCCCUACACCCGCAAUCACGUCCACCGUGUAGGCUCCCAAACACGACGAGGAAGGAAGCCGAGGCAGAGCCGAACAGCUCCCUUCAGUGGGGACCGCUGGCCAGUGCCACGCUGAGUGGUGCUCAAGGGUGAGCUCGUCCAAUUCCCAGCAACUGGACAGGAGUCUGUCUACGGGUCUUGCUGUGGACACUGAGCAAUUGCAGGUCUAACAUGCCGACUCCACACCCUGGGUCCGAGCCACCUCCUGCCCCCCGCCCCUGACGCAUGGCCCCCUCAUCCAGCUCUGCUCAGGGAAUGCACACCCUGAGCUGAAGGCACGACAGACAGGCCUGCCUGUCCCACAGAGCUCAGGGGCUCCCUGGGCACAGGAAGGGCUUAUUUCCUGGCACUAGGGGAGCGGUAAGAAAAAGGCCCCUUCAGUGGACGUGAGUUCUGAUCCUCUAGAUGCUGCCAACAUGCUGGGAAAACGGGCAUUCUUAAGAUGGAAGUGUAACUGGUGCCACUUUUAGGCACGACAAUUGAGUAAAAGCAAUCAAGACUUAAAAAUGCAUUUCUAACCCUUGAUCAGCAAUUUCAUUUGGGAAUGUAACCUAAGAAACUUUAAAGGUGUACAGAGAUAGAAGACCAAGGGUAAGACAGCAGUCCUGUCAUUUAAAAUUGGCAACAAUUUAGCUGGUCAAAAGAGGAGAUUGAUCAAAGAAACUCAGGUUCAUCUAUCUGAUGGGAUUACAGGCAUUCAUUAAAAAUCAUGCUAUCAUGGAGUUCCCAUCGCGGCUCCUCGGAAACGAAUCUGAGUAGCAUCCACGAGGACGCAGGUUUGAUCCCUGGCCUCGCUCGGUAGGUUAAGGAUCCGGUGUUGCCGUGAGCUAUUGUGCAGACGAGUUUCAGAUCCGGCGUGGCUGUGGCUGUGGCAUAGGCUGGUGGCUACAGCUCCAAUUCAACCCCUAGCCUGGGAACCUCCAUAUGCCUCGGGUGCGGCACCAAAAAAAAAAAAAAAAAAUUCACACUAUCAAAAAGUUUUGCAGGGGUUUUCUUAUGGCGCAGUAGGUUAAGGAUCAGUGUUGUCACUGCUGUGGCACAGGUUCGAUCCCUGGCUCAGGAA
ensembl:lncRNA